rnacentral:rRNA from 1 species
UUUUAUGGUUAUGUAUACCCUAAAGACACCAAAUCCCAUCUAUUUCUUGGAAACUGAGCAGGGCCAGCCCUGAUUAGUACUUAUAUGGGAGACCACCAAGGAAUGCCAGGUGCUGUAGGCU